GAAACGGGGCGGCAAUUCAGCUGAUAAGUAGCAAAACCUUCCAUCUCUCACUGUUGUUUUUACUGCUUUCAGCAAAGUUGGAGCGGACCUCUUUUUGACUUCUCCAGGCACUAUUUACCAUCUGACUAGGCUGUUCGUGAACACAGAAAAUCGAGAGAUGUUGUGACAACCUGGACAGAAGUCAGCUCCAAAUCCAUUCUCAACACCAGACUUCUCAUUCACAAGGAUUCCUCUCUUAAAAACCAAUAAUUUUUUUUUUUUUAUUUUUUUUCAGAAAUCACUUUUUUUUUAUUGCGCCUUCCAAGUAAAAUCAAUCAAACUGCAGUAGGGUUGUAUUGAUUAAGAUUAAGAUUAUUCAGAUGACAAUGUAGAUGCCAGAAAAAGGUUGAUGUUGUUGUGAUCAUAGAUUGUAUGUGAUUACAGGCAAUACAGUACAUGGUUUUUCCCUCACCAUUGUAACACACUACUUUUGCAAGGUUCCGUGAAAAUGUUUCAGCUUUUAUUUUCCUUUUACACCCUGAAGAUAUCACAGGUUCAUCAACUUCAUCUAAAUUAUCCAUCCCCGAUCGCAUUUAGUCAACUUUGAAAAAUUCCUCUCAGCUAGCACGUCUUUUUAAAGUGAAAGUAGCUUUGUCACCUGACCUAAAUACAGUGUGCUGAUUCACUAAAACUGAUUUAUCGGCUUCUAAACAAAAACAACAAGGGCGCUUGUCGGCUCCUGCAGUGAAACAUUAACUCGCGAUGCCUUGAAAGUGGACAAUACUGGAUUUUUUGACCAAACAUAUUUAGGGUUCAGAUUGCGCUAUACGUGGAGAAUAAUGCAAUUUUUUUUUAAGGGCUGUUUAUCAGUUUUUGCAAAUGAACUAUAUAUAUAAAUAUAUAUAUUUUAAUUUUUUUUUUUUCAAGGCAUCUAAAAGCCAUUUCACACUUGCCAUACUCCAACAGGGUGAACGCACUGACCAAACAAAACAAAAUGUUGGCAGUGUGAAGUGACCAUAAUGCAGUAUGUUAGGUGUGAGAUUCAUUAAACUUGGUAUACUAUAUUAAAUGACAUUUGCAAUACAGGAAGACAGUUUUUUAUUUGUUUGAAAUUCUAUA